UGUGGUUCCCAAAGCAACACAACUUCUCCAUUACCUGGCCUCAAAUGAUCCUCCUGCCUCGCCUUCCAAAGUUCUGGGAUUACAGUUUCUCUAAAUAGCACUUGCUGUCCCAGUCUCAACUUUAACAUGAAUCAAGAGACUACGUCUAAAAUUGGGUAUACUGGGAUUACUUAUUUUCCUAUUGGAACCAGUGAGGAGUGAAGAAAAAGGUGAAGAAGGGAAGAAAAAGGGCAACUGAAUUGCAAGAAGUGAAACUCACUUCCAUCAUCCAGAUUGAAGUCAGUCCCUUAAUAGGAUUUGCAGGGACUACAUCUUAACUGGUCCUUAGCACCACUUCUGGCACAUAGUGGUUGCAGUUUUCCUGCCCAGCCCACCACCACUGAGUGAUGUGGUUAUCUGGUCCAGCACGCCACCAUCGGAGCAU